UACGGGGGGGGCAAGCGUUGUUCGGAAUUACUGGGCGUAAAGGGUUCGUAGGUGGCUUGUUAAGUCAGACGUGAAAUCCCUCGGCUCAACCGGGGAACUGCGUCUGAGACUGAUGAGCUCGAGUGCAGGAGAGGAACGCGGAAUUCCAGGUGUAGCGGUGAAAUGCGUAGAUAUCUGGAGGAACACCGGUGGCGAAGGCGGCGUUCUGGACUGCAACUGACACUGAUAAACGAAAGCCAGGGUAGCAAACGGG
rnacentral:rRNA from 1 species